UCUCAGCUCGUGUAGUGGUUAGUACGCCGGUCUUAUGUCUAUCGCAGUCAGCGACAGGUAUGCUGGUGACCUGAGUUCGAUUCUCAGGCUGAGAA